rnacentral:misc_RNA from 1 species
CCAAACUUGGUCAUUUAGAGGAAGUAAAAGUCGUAACAAGGUCUCCGUAGGUGAACCUGCGGAGGGAUCAUUACGAGAGCGCCCGGCCCCUCCGGGGCCGGCCUCCCCACCCCGUGUGAUCGUCACGAUCGUUGCUUUGGCGGGUCGUGCCGGGCCCACGUCCGACCACCCGCCAGAGCCCCCCAUUAACGCGAGAUGUGGCCGUUGUCCGAGCCUAUAUAUAAUAACCAAAACUUUCAACAACGGAUCUCUUGGCUCUGGCAUCGAUGAAGAACGCAGC